GUGCGGGCUCUGUGCGGCGGAGCGCCGUGAACCAUGUGAGGAGGGGAACCGAGCAGCAUUAAGCGGAUUGCCCCGCGCGAUGCAGGCGGUCUGUACGCC
rnacentral:SRP_RNA from 1 species